rnacentral:rRNA from 1 species
GCUGGCGGCGCGCCUAACACAUGCAAGUCGGAACGAGCGAGAGAGAGCUUGCUUUCUCGAGCGAGUGGCGAACGGGUGAGUAACGCGUGAGGAACCUGCCUCAAAGAGGGGGACAACAGUUGGAAACGACUGCUAAUACCGCAUAAGCCCACAGCUCGGCAUCGAGCAGAGGGAAAAGGAGCAAUCCGCUUUGAGAUGGCCUCGCGUCCGAUUAGCUAGUUGGUGAGGUAUGGCCCACCAAGGCAACGAUCGGUAGCCGGACUGAGAGGUUGAACGGCCACAUUGGGACUGAGACACGGCCCAGACUCCUACGGGAGGCAGCAGUGGGGAAUAUUGCACAAUGGGGGAAACCCUGAUGCAGCGACGCCGCGUGGAGGAAGAAGGUCUUCGGAUUGUAAACUCCUGUUGUUGAGGAAGAUAAUGACGGUACUCAACAAGGAAGUGACGGCUAACCACGUGCCAGCAGCCGCGGUAAAACGUAGGGUGCAAGCGUUGUCCGGAAUUACUGGGUGUAAAGGGAGCGCAGGCGGGAAGACAAGUUGGAAGUGAAAACCAUGGGCUCAACCCGUGAAUUGCUUUCAAAACUGUUUUUCUUGAGUAGUGCAGAGGUAGAUGGAAUUCCCGGUGUAGCGGUGGAAUGCGUAGAUAUCGGGAGGAACACCAGUGGCGAAGGCGGUCUACUGGGCACCAACUGACGCUGAGGCUCGAAAGCAUGGGUAGCAAACAGGAUUAGAUACCCUGGUAGUCCAUGCCGUAAACGAUGAUUACUAGGUGUUGGGGGAUUGACCCCCUCAGUGCCGCAGUUAACACAAUAAGUAAUCCACCUGGGGAGUACGACCGCAAGGUUGAAACUCAAAGGAAUUGACGGGGGCCCGCACAAGCAGUGGAGUAUGUGGUUUAAUUCGAAGCAACGCGAAGAACCUUACCAGGUCUUGACAUCCGAUGCAUAGCACAGAGAUGUGUGAAAUCCUUCGGGACAUCGAGGCAGGUGGUGCAUGGUUGUCGUCAGCUCGUGUCGUGAGAUGUUGGGUUAAGUCCCGCAACGAGCGCAACCCUUAUUGCCAGUUACUACGUUAAGAGGACUCUGGCGAGACUGCCGUUGACAAAACGGAGGAAGGUGGGGAUGACGUCAAAUCAUCAUGCCCUUUAUGACCUGGGCUACACACGUACUACAAUGGCGUUAAACAAAGAGAAGCAAGACCGCGAGGUGGAGCAAAACUCAAAAACAACGUCUCAGUUCAGAUUGCAGGCUGCAACUCGCCUGCAUGAAGUCGGAAUUGCUAGUAAUCGCGGAUCAGCAUGCCGCGGUGAAUACGUUCCCGGGCCUUGCACUCACCGCCCGUCAA